GUCAAUCAUCGAAUUUUUGAACGCAAAUUGCACUCUCCUCGGAGAGUAUGCCUGUUUGAGGGUCAGCCUAUAAAAAAUCGACAUCGUUGCUGUUUCGCGGUGGCGUUCGUCGGAAAUUGGGUCAUCUUAAAUCUUUUGGUUUUAAGCGACUUAAAAUUUUCUUUUUGGUUCCAUGAACGGUUCAUAGAUUUAUUUUAUUAAAAGUUUACGGUAUCUAUUUUUAUUAGACAUGACCAUCUGA
rnacentral:misc_RNA from 1 species